GAAGGUCAAGGGGAUGGAGUCCCCCAUGAACCGCAUGUUUUGCUGAUGACUCCUGCCGGACC
rnacentral:ncRNA from 21 species